CUACUAUAUGCAAACUGCACGUGAAGGAUAUAAGUUAUAAAGGAAUAGAGCUUCUAGAAGGAGAAAUAGUCUCACUGUGUUGCCCAGAUUGGUCUUGAACUCCUGGCCUCAAGUGAUCCUCUUUCCUUGCCCUCCCAAAGUGCUGGGAUUACAGGCUUGAGCCACCACUCCCAGCCAACAGAAUUCUUUUCAACAGUUGUUUAUUCUGUUGAUGGAUAUUGGACUGGAGUGAUGAGUGUUCUAGGAUGGGUAUUUGAUGAUGCCAGGGGACUCAAGUAAUGGCUUUGCAUGAAGAUUACACAGUAAAGCUGCACAUUGAUUACCUCAUCUUAUUAGCUGAUGGAGAUGUUUGAGAGGACAAGAUUGCAGGGCUUUCAAGCCUGUACAGCUACCAGGAUUUGAUCCUAAGAGCUUGAUCAUUGUCAUUGCCCAUAGGGACUGUGUUAAGAAUAGUGGUGGUUUACUACUUAAACGCAUGAGAGUGUUAUAACAGUUCCCUAUGUCUUUUGAAUUGUUUAGAUAAGGUUAGGACUUUCAGAUCAACUUGAGUUUUAAUUUUUAGCAUUUAUAGAAUUCUAAAAUUAAUCCUGUUUGUUUUUGUCUUCCUCCACUAAAAUUUAAGUUUGCUGAGGUAGACAGUUUUGUUUCUGGAACCACUAUCCCUCCAGCGGCUAGAACAGUGGAACAUGUUCAAUAAAUAUUCAAUAAAUAUUUUUGAAUAAGUGAAUGAAUGAACAGGUUAAAUGUAAUCUUUAUUUUUUAAUGAACUAUCCUUUCCAGAGACAUACAAAUUGCCAGUUGAUGGCAUUUUUUAUUUCUUUUUGUAAAAAGAGUAUUUUAAAAUUUGAAUGAGUUCUAUCUAACAGAUAACACAGUUGAGUACAUUAAAAGGGACCUUGAACACAAAAUCCAUGUUUUCGUGGAUUAGUAUUUUUGCAGCUUAAAUGGUGAACGAUAGGAUUGUUAGAUGCAAAUAACUCUGGAAAUUAAAGACCUUUAGUUGUAACUCUCCCUAAAAUGUUUGUGAGAGCUUGUAAAAUGUUGUUCACUUUAUUCUAUUAUAAAAGGGCAUUAUAAUAAAUAUGAAGUUUUGAAACCAUGUUCUUUUAAAUGAGGUGAAUUAUAGAACUCUGUUAUUAGCCAUUAUGCUGUGCCCCUUCUUUUAAAGCAUAUCCCUCCACAUACCCUUUCUAAGGACUUGGGGGUAACAAAAUGAGGAGUAAGUGAAGAAAGAAGAAGGCACAGCUUGUCGA
rnacentral:lncRNA from 10 species